rnacentral:rRNA from 1 species
GAUGAACGCUGGCGGCGUGCCUAAUACAUGCAAGUCGAGCGAACGGACGAGAAGCUUGCUUCUCUGAUGUUAGCGGCGGACGGGUGAGUAACACGUGGAUAACCUACUUAUAAGACUGGGAUAACUUCGUGAAACCGGAGCUAAUACCGGAUGAUAUUUUGAACCGCAUGGUUCAAGAGUGAAAGACGGUCUUGCUGUCACUUAUAGAUGGAUCCGCGCUGCAUUAGCUAGUUGGUAAGGUAACGGCUUACCAAGGCAACGAUGCAUAGCCGACCUGAGAGGGUGAUCGGCCACACUGGAACUGAGACACGGUCCAGACUCCUACGGGAGGCAGCAGUAGGGAAUCUUCCGCAAUGGGCGAAAGCCUGACGGAGCAACGCCGCGUGAGUGAUGAAGGUCUUCGGAUCGUAAAACUCUGUUAUUAGGGAAGAACAUAUGUGUAAGUAACUGUGCACAUCUUGACGGUACCUAAUCAGAAAGCCACGGCUAACUACGUG